UCUGGCUCAAAACGCCGCGCUCUGUCCACCAAAUCUCUCGCGGAGCUGUUCACCCGAUACCGUUCACGAUGUCUGUGGUUCGUCAGAAACAAGAGAAAAAAAGUGACAAACAGGUUGAAUGAAAUUGAGAUUGACAUGACUUCAGGUUCCCUCUCUGAAGUGCAGUGACAUCGAUGCUACACCGUCGACUGGCCUUCAUUACAUGAAACACUCCAUUAGGCCUAUAAGUUCAUAAUUUACCUUUAUGGAGCGCUUAAAUUUUAUCACUCUAAUUUUGAAGCAAUCGGACAGUGGUGUUUUUUGAAUAAAUAUACUAACAAAGCAAAAUGCUCAGUGUUAAAUCAACAAGAGUUAAUUUUACUCUGAUGUAGUACAUUUUAUCCUUUGUGGGUUUACAUAGACGCUGCUAGAGCAGAAUCAACAAUGAACUUUUUAUUAUGUGUAGGCCUACGUAGCUCAGAAAAAUAAAUUGUGUUAUAUAUAUAUAUAUAUAUAUAUAUAUAUAUAUAUAUAUAUAUAUUAAUGUGAAGCACUACAUGUCUUGUCAGGAAUGGUUGCUAGGCCUAUGUUAUGCUUGAACGUGAAACAUGUACAUAUUUUUUACUUUUUUCAGUUUUAACCACCCAUUGGUCCUAUGCAUUACAGCAAUGAAACGUCCGUACAUUCAUGUAGUAUGAACAGGUCAUCAAAGGAGAUAACGAUAUGCGCAUCAACCUGGAACACCUCAUUUGACGGACGAGAUAAAAUUAUAAACGUCGUUCAUUAAACACGCCUUCCACGUUAUGGUUUCACUAAAUUAUUAAUGUGUAAAGGCUAUUUGUUAAUAUUGAAUGCAUAAAAUUAAACAUUUUUAGUUAAUAAA